ensembl:lncRNA
GUUCAUGUUAUCUCAAUGUAACGGACAGUUAGGACUACUGUUCAUGUUAUCUCAAUGUAAUGGACAGUUAGGACUACUGUUCAUGUUAUCUCAAUGUAACAGACAGUUAGGACUACUGUUCAUGUUAUCUCAAUGUAAUAGACAGUUAGGACUACUGUUCAUGUUAUCUCAAUGUAACAGACAGUUAGGACUACUGUUCAUGUUAUCUCAAUGUAACAGACAGUUAGGACGACUGUUCAUGUUAUCUCAAUGUAAUAAGACAGUUAGGACUACUGUUCAUGUUAUCUCAAUGUAACAGACAGUUAGGACGACUGUUCAUGUUAUCUCAAUGUAACAGACAGUUAGGACGACUGUUCAUGUUAUCUCAACCUAAUGAUAACCGUGUGUUAUCUAUUUAUAUUGUUGAAACAGACAUAUAUUGCCUGUGUGUUUUGGUCAUUUCAAGACGUACUGAGGUGUAUGUGUACCCUUCAAGGAAUGGAACUGUAUAAUAGUAUUGCUUGAUUGAAUUGACAUGAAUGUGUCCUAAUCCAGCAGGACAUCUAUUGUUCAGUAUCACAGUGGGAAGGUUGAAGAGCAAACCGUGUGUAUUGAUAUAAGUCUACUGUAUGGGCCGUCCACAGGAAGUGCCUUUAUUAGUGCUAUGUUAUCAUGUACUGUAUUUCCUGAAGGUUUAUGGAGGAACAGAUAGAUAACCAACCAAACUCACCACGAGACAACUAUAGGGAGGCGAUUCACAGAGCUGUGACCACUCAGUCUCCCGAGUCGAAACAACUAGGACUUGUUCAUGUUCGUAACCAUUUGGUUUCACAGUAGAACUGUCGUUGUUUUAGAAAUGGGACUGAAAGACAGAACGACUGAAAGAACAGAAGAAGGGUGGGUAGAGACGUGGAGUCAAAACUUCACAGAGUUGUGGCUACAAGCCCUCCAGUCUACAGGACUAGCUCAUGUGUAGGCCAUAUGUAAAUGAACUGUCGUUGUUUUAGAAAGAGAAAUACUGAAAAAACAAGGGGUAGAUAGACGUGAGUCAGUGGGAGGGGUUAAUGGGUUGGUUGUAGAGGUCUUGUUUGUGGAGGGAAGUUGGGUACUGGCCAGGGCUGUUACACCUCUUCCUCCCCAGACUGAAGACUCAGAGUGGAGAGAGAAAAGAGGGGGUUGAGAGAGAGAGAGAGAGGGCUGAGAGAGAGAGAGAGAGAGAGAG